ACUCAAAUGAAUUGACGGGGACCCGCACAACCAGUGGAGCGUGUGGUUCAAUUUGAGACGAAGCAAAAAACCUCACCAGGGUUUGACAUGCUACCGUUUAUUCUCUUGGAAACAUGAGGAAAUCCUGCAAAGGAUGGUAGCACAGGUGCUGCAUGGCUGUCGUCAGCUCGUGCCGUGAGGUGUUCCCUUAAGUGGGGAAACGAGUGCAACCCUCAUCUUGUGUUAAAUAUUCACAAGAAACUGCCCCGACUUAGUCGGGGAGGAAGGAGAGGCGGACGUCAAGUCAGCAUGGCCCUUAUACCCUGGGCUACACACACCCUACAAUGGCGAAAAACAAUGGGCUGCAAGCUCGCGAGAGCAAGCUAAUCCCUGAAAUUUCGCCCCAGUUCAGAUUGCAGUCUGCAAUUCGACUGCAUGAAGUCGGAAUUGGUAGUAAUCGCGGAUCAGCGGGCCGCGGUGAAUACGUUCUCGGGUCUUGUACACACCGCCCGU
rnacentral:rRNA from 1 species